GACGAACGCUGGCGGCGUGCUUAACACAUGCAAGUCGAACGGUGAAGGGGUCUGCUUUUGUGGGCCCUGGAUGAGUGGCGAACGGGUGAGUAACACGUGAGUAACCUGCCCCCUUCUUCUGGAUAACCGCAUGAAAGUGUGGCUAAUACGGGAUAUUCUGGGUCUGUCGCAUGAUGGGUCUGGGAAAGAUUGCGCCUUUGGGUGUUUUUGGUGGGGGAUGGGCUCGCGGCCUAUCAGCUUGUUGGUGGGGUGAUGGCCUACCAAGGCGGUGACGGGUAGCCGGCGUGAGAGGGUGGACGGUCACACUGGGACUGGGACACGGCCCAGACUCCUACGGGAGGAAGCAGUGGGGAAUAUUGCACAAUGGGCGCAAGCCUGAUGCAGCGACGCCGCGUGAGGGAUGGAGGCCUUCGGGUUGUAAACCUCUUUCGCCAGUGAAGCAGGCCUGCUCCUUGUGGGUGGGUUGACGGUAGCUGGAUAAGAAGCGCCGGCUAACUACGUG
rnacentral:rRNA from 1 species